rnacentral:rRNA from 1 species
UACGUAGGCAGCAAGCGUUGUUCGGAGUUACUGGGCGUAAAGGGUGCGUAGGCGGCUUUUAAGUCUGGUGUGAAAUCUCCCGGCUCAACUGGGAGGUGCGCCGGAUACUGAGGGGCUAGAGUGUGGGAGAGGAAAGUGGGAAUUCCUGGUGUAGCGGUGAAAUGACGUAGAUAUCAGGAGGAACACCGGUGGUGUAAGACGGCUUUCUGGACCAUAACUGACGCUGAGGCACGAAAGCGUGGGUAGCAAACAGG